UCCGGUUGAUCCCGCGGAGGUCACUGCUAUGGAGUUCGAUUAAGCCAUGCGAGUCAAUAGUUCUUCGUGAACUAGGCGGACUGCUCAGUAACACGUGGGUAAUCUACCCUCGGGUCAGGGAUAACCCCGGGAAACUGGGAAUAAUUCGUGAUAGGUGAAGAUGUCUGGAAUGAUACUUCGCCUAAAGCUCCGGCGCCCGAGGAUGAGCCUGCGGCCGAUUAGGUUGUUGGCGGUGUAAAGGACCACCAAGCCUGUGAUCGGUACGGGUGUUGAGAGACAUAGCCCGGAGAUGGGGGCUGAGACACGGCCCCAGGCCCUACGGGGCGCAGCAGGCGCGAAAACUACGCAAUGCGCGAAAGCGUGACGUGGGAACUCCAAGUGCCCUGCCUUCGGGUAGGGCUUUUGUUUAGUGUAAGAAGCUGAAUGAAUAAGUGCUGGGUAAGACCGGUGCCAGCCGCCGCGGUAACACCGGCAGCGCGAGUGGUGACCGCUUUUAUUGGGCCUAAAGCGUUCGUAGCCGGUUUGGUAAGUCUUUGGGUAAAUCCUCAGGCUCAACCUGAGGAAUUCCGAAGAUACUGCCAGACUUGGAGUUGAGAGAGGUCAGAGGUACCUCCGGGGUAGGGGUGAAAUCCUAUAAUCCUGGGGGGACCACCAGUGGCGAAGGCGUCUGACUAGAGCAAGCUCGACGGUGAGGGACGAAAGCCAGGGGCGCGAACGGGAUUAGAUACCCCGGUAGUCCUGGCUGUAAACGCUGCGCGCUAGGUGUUACGUCCUCUACGAGGGGGCGUAGUGCCGAAGAGAAGUUGAUAAGCGUGCCGCCUGGGAAGUAUUACCGCAAGGUAGAAACUUAAAGGAAUUGGCGGGGGAGCACCACAAGGGGUGGAGUCUGCGGUUCAAUUGGAUUCAACGCCGGGA
rnacentral:rRNA from 1 species